rnacentral:rRNA from 1 species
GACAGCAGUCGCCACGGGAAUACGUAGGGUGCAAGCGUUAAUCGGAAUUACUGGGCGUAAAGCGUGCGCAGGCGGUUUGUUAAGACAGAUGUGAAAUCCCCGGGCUCAACCUGGGAACCGCAUUUGUGACUGGCAAGCUAGAGUGUGGCAGAGGGGGGUGGAAUUCCGCGUGUAGCAGUGAAAUGCGUAGAUAUGCGGAGGAACACCGAUGGCGAAGGCAGCCCCCUGGGCCAACACUGACGCUCAUGCACGAAAGCGUGGGGAGCAAACAGGAUUAGAUACCCCAGUAGUCCCUGUCUCUUAUAC